rnacentral:rRNA from 1 species
CAGUCGCCGCGGGAAUACGUAGGGUGCGAGCGUUAAUCGGAUUUACUGGGCGUAAAGCGUGCGCAGGCGGCCCGUUAAGACAGAUGCGAAAUCCCCGGGCUUAACCUGGGAACUGCAUUUGUGACUGGCGGGCUAGAGUAUGGCAGAGGGAGGUAGAAUUCCACGUGUAGCAGUGAAAUGCGUAGAGAUGUGGAGGAAUACCGAUGGCGAAGGCAGCCCCCUGGGCCAAUACUGACGCUCAUGCACGAAAGCGUGGGGAGCAAACAGGAUUAGAUACCCCCGUAGUCCCUGUCUCUUAUAC